rnacentral:lncRNA from 1 species
AAACUUCUUAGAUGUUCACCUCAUGAGAUCAUAUGUAGAUGAUCCAAGUGGUUCCUUUGGAAUAGGCAAUGAGCAAUAAGCAAAUAAACAAAACAAAUGGAUACCGGAUGCCAAUCAAUGGACUUACACCAAUCUCACAAAACAAACUGGAUACCGGAUACCAAUCAAUGGAUUUAUACCAAUCUCCUAAAAUAAAACAUGGAUAUCAGAUGCCAAUCAAUGGGCU